rnacentral:rRNA from 1 species
UACGUAGGCAGCAAGCGUUGUUCGGAGUUACUGGGCGUAAAGAGUGCGUAGGUGGUUUUCUAAGUUUGGUGUGAAAUCUCCCGGCUCAACUGGGAGGGUGCGCCGAAAACUGGAAGGCUAGAGUGUGGGAGAGGAGAGCGGAAUUCCUGGUGUAGCGGUGAAAUGCGUAGAUAUCAGGAGGAACACCUGCGGUGCAGACGGCUCUCUGGACCAUUACUGACACUGAGGCACGAAAGCGUGGGGAGCAAACAGG